AGAAAAAAAAGCCGGUAAAAAGGUGUUCUUUUAGGUUUUUGAGAUAUAAGUGGAUUAAGCAAACAGUAGUGGAUGAACAGAAGAUACAAUGCAAAAAUAAGCAGGUAACACAUCAUAUGCAAGAAAAAUUUGCAUAUUUAAGAAUCAGAAUCUUAAAUGGCCAAAAUCACAACACUUUAAUGCAGUGCUGGCAAACCUUGAGUUAUAUGAAAGUGUUAUAUUCAUGUAACACUUGCCCUCAACUUGAACAUUUCAACGAACUAAGCACAAUCCACUGCACCACGCCAGCAGUAGAAGUCUCCUCAAGCAUUAUGGUGCAUCAUGUCAAACCACAAAAAAUGCUAAGGAAUAUUUUGAGGAACAUUACAAAACUUCAAAAGCUCCUCAGACACGGAAAACGCCUCUUUAUGGGUGGUUAAAUUGCUGCCCAUUUUCUAUGCUUGCUAAGUCCUGCUAGCUACACUGGGGAGAUGGCACUGCCAUCAAGGAAGGUACAACCUCUAAGCAUGAUGCCAGUCUGUUAGAGACCCAGAACAGAAACCCCUUUCAUUGUGUGAUGUUCUUUACAUGGUGUGAUCAACUGGAAGGUCCUCAAACAGAAUGAGGAGUUGAAGUCGUCCCACUAAUAUCAGUCCACCGAGACACCUCGAAAAGUAGUCACAAGCGAGUAACAAUUACAAACUGUAAGGGAUAGUAACAGAUUUUUGAAUGACGUGAUGUAUACCGUUAGAAUACAAAGCAAAACAUUCUAGCACACACUGAGGGUCAUGGUCCAAAGAUACACACAGAAGCACAUCAUCAAACCAAAGGAAAGGAGACCCUGAGAUUCCCAAACCAGUCACCCUCCUUUCUGCAACUCCAAAUCCUGUCCACAAACAGACCAAUCACACUAGAAACUGCUUUAGUCUUGUGCUGAAUUACAAACACAGCUCAUAAGAUCAGUAUAUCUUCCAAACUACAUAAUAUUUUUUAUCACUGAGUAAUAUGAAUCGGUUUCUUUUGAAAGAAGUAAAAAUUUUAGUGAGGCAUUUAUCUCCUAUUGUUUUCUUUUAAGGGUUAGGAUCAGCUAAUACUGUGAAACUUUUAGUAAGAGUACCAACAUCUGUUUAUCUUUUGCAUGUGAGCACAACUUUGUGCAUUUCAACAUGCCUGUCUCUUAAUUGGGGCAUAAAAGUAAAUAGCCUUUUGAUGCCUUGAAUAGCAUAUUCCUGAGUCAGCCUUGGUUGCUACCUUUUUUACGUCGCCACCUGAUUAGUGUUGGCUUUUUGUUAAGCAGGCACGGGAUCUCAUUAUCAAGAAGCCUGAUGAGACUUGUUUCAGUUUUGCUGAAUGGUUCCUGGGGAAACAGAACAAAUAUAAAGCAAACCAGUGGAGUUUUAGUGAAUCUGUGUACAGUAACGAGUUUCUUCAAGUUAAGAAGGGUAUGUUUUUUAUUUGGAGACUGUUUGACGUUUCGUUGAUCCAUGCAUAAAACGCAUUGUCUGGAACAUGGACCUUGGGACAAUUUCUCUGCUGGAAAGGACACGGUCAGCAAAGCAAGCAGAAUGUACUGGCCUCUGAGUAAACAGUAGCAACAUCUCUACCAUCUGUUCGUUGUUUGAACAACGGGUAUCGUUCUUACAACUUGACCUGGUAGCUCAUCAGUAAGAGUCAAGCAGCUGAGUGUCUAACUUAGCACCACCAAUGGAAAAAGGGUUGCAAAAAAAUGACUACACCUGGCAGACGAGAAGUAAACCUUUAUAAUUCUGUUGGAACACUACAUCUGAGCAAUGCAUCAUAUGUUUGCUUUUCCAACUACAAGAAAAAAAUUGCACCAAGUUGUCUGUGGCAGACACCACAGCUGCUCCAAAUAUACUCAGUAAAACGCUGACUCAACACAAGCACUCAGACUUUACUCCCACUGAGUGGCUGAAAACUGUGUACCAUUGAGAUCUUGUUCAGUAAUCUGGCACAAAAUGGAAGGUCAAUGGUAUUCAAACAGGUAUGGUAGCCUGACGAGGACUCAGUUGCCAAAGACGAGGCUGUUGCUGGAAAGACAGUUGCAUAACGGGAUGCCGCUUACUAUUUUCAGAUCAGGCUUGGUGCGCCAUGGUGCCACAUCACCCAUCUAAACAAUGGGACUAGUAUUUAACUUACUGGACGCAUGUCUUGUUUCUCUCUAACUGCAGUCACCAUGGCAUCUUGACACUGAAAUUCAUUGUGGAUUUAAAUUGGUAAUAUUUUGCAUGACUCAUACACUGACUCCACUAUUGCACAACACAGAACUAUAAUCUGCGGUGCUGAUGAUUCUAGCCCUGUGGUUUUGAUAGUUGAAGUCAAAAGUUUAAAUAGGAACUAGCAUCUGAAACCCUGUGAUCAAUAGACAAAACAUUCAACCACAUCAUCAGAUUAGUGCUGCUCCUCACAGCACAUACACAGCACAUGUAAAGUCACACCUCUGCAAAAUUGGUUUCCAUGUGGAAAGCAGCUCUUUACGGAUGCCAGAGUUGGAUUUUGGUCUAAGACGAUAAUCCAGAGUGGAAUUCUCCCCGUUUGGUCACUGCUUUCACCCUGCUCAACUGUAACUGUUCAAUCCCAAGAAAACAUGCACAGAAACCUGAAAUACCUAACUUAAAAUCCUUAUAUUGUUAUUAUAAUUACUAAUUGUAUAAUAAUUACUAUACUAAUAGUAAUUAUUAUAAUUAAUAGUUAUAAUAAUAAUAAUAGCACUAUUAUUAUUAUUAUUAUUAUUACACAUACCCUGUGUGAGAUUAAAUCUGUCUGUUUCUAAAGGUUGUCUGUAGCUCACUCUUGUUUUUCUCCAUUAAUGAUUUAAUUGGAAAAAAAAACAUGACAUCAUGUGACCUCAUACUGCUUAAACAAACCUGGACUACAACAUAAGCACCCAGACUGAACUGUCAUGUGAUGCAAACUGAUGCGAACACAGUGGGGCUCGAAAGGGGUCCAAGUACAAAUCUGUUUGGCAUGCCCUUCAUCUCAAAACAAUGAAUUGUUUAAUAGGUAAUCUGUUUUGUAAAGUGCUCAACAACCAAAACAACAAUUUAGUUUUGGUGGCACACCACCAAAGAUAUGUACUGAUGCUAAAUGUGGGUGAAAGGUCAUUGUUCUUAGCUAGAAAUAUUAGCUAAAACGUCCGGGUUUUGACAUAUUUUAUUGAGGUAAAUAAAGAUAAAAACUGGUUAACCUAAAAAAAAAACAUAAAAGAAAAAAUCUAGCAGAAAAUGAAGGGUAUUUGCUGCAUGUGAUCAGAAAAGCAUGCAAUCGCUCCUAGUUUGGCAAGCGGCAGUUCUGCAUCUUAAGGACUUCUUUAGCAUUACCUUAUCAGGUUACAGAGACAGAAUGUGGACAGAAACAGAACAUGGAAGGAAUGACAGAAAUCCACCCAGCGUCUAAGAGGCGAAAGAAAUGUAGAAUAGUUAUGUCUGCUGUUAUUCUUCAGUCAGCAUGUCAUGGUAACAGGACAUGAUGUGCUCAUUGGAACUGGGAGUAAGAGUUUAGUGUCAUAAGAAGAAAGCAAUGGAACAUUUACGACCAAUUAUGCUCGAAAGGGGAAGUGGCAGACUGAAUCAAACUGGGAAAAAGACACGUCUUUAGGGACAGUGGAGGGAUUAGGACUCUCUUGUUAAGCGGAGACGAGAUGGACUGAGGGGAUUAAGGUGCUGGGCAGGUGAAGGUUUCAGCAGCAGGUGUUCAGCGCUUGCUCACACACAUCAAUAGGCAAUGAGAUGAGAUGGUGCUGUGUGAUAAUGCUCUGCCUCCAACAGUGUUAGAUUAUCAGCACAGAUGUUUGCUUUAUUAUUCUUCCAAACCCUCUUGCUUAAUUGUGUCGGGCAUUUGACGUAUGCAUAGUGAUGAGGGAAUUUUUCUCCAACUUUUCUUAAUUAGAGAAAAAGAGAAGAUUUCCAAAAUUUCCUGAGUUAUCUAUUGGGUUAUAUCCAUAUUUUUUCAGUCACAAAACUUUUUCAUUUCCUACUUCAGUCAGAGACUUUGUUCAAACUGAGCAUUUACUUUGCUUGUUUCUGGUAUCAAAGUGUAGAAAGCUUUUUAAAAGUUACAGUUUCAAAGGUACAAAUUCAAUUAUACUAUUCCUACAGUUUAAAUCCCUUUGAAUAAAAAGCAAAUGAAUUAGUGAUGUUCUCUCCAGAUAGAUAGAGAAAGGCAGCCUACAAAAAAAGUUACAUUUCACAGUUCAUGUCUGGAAUCAAAUAACAAAUAAAUAUUAUAUAUAUAAAUAUAUAUAAACUUUCCCAUAUUAUUUAAUGCUACACUUAGGUCUAUCACUUUUAAGUUGCCUUGUUGACUCACAAAUGGAUGGAAAUACAGAAAAGUUGCCUCUAAAGAAAACAAAAUGCAUCUUCUUAUCAGACUCUACCAGUAGAAGGCGCCAUUUACAGUCAUUCGUCUACAAUCACACACGUUACUCACUGCGAUAACAUUGUAACACGUUUGUAUAGCUGCUGACCCCGCACACAUCAAACUGUUACUAAGACUGUAAGACUGUAGACUGUUACUAAGCGCUCUGGUUGUUGCCUAAUCUCUUAUGGCCGGGCUUUGUGACUAAAACCCCUGCAGUCUAAAAGGGCGGAAAAGAACAGGUACCAUUUAUCGUCACAUUCACGAUAAUCCAUUAUGGGGCUCCAUUCAUGAAAACAAACCGGUUUUCCCUCCUUGUGUAAAACGACGUAGAAAAUGUCACACAUGCUUUGGGGAUUUCAGUGUGGAGGAAUAGUACAAUAGAAAAUACAGUGAACUUCAACUUUAAAUUCAGAAUGUGGGUCAUUUUUUACACUGGAACUGCUAAAUGAAUAUUAUUUCACCUCAGAACUUAGUCCAUGACCUUAUCAAAUGCUGUAUAACUUUUAUAAUAAUAAUAACCAAGAGUUUCGAACUAUUGUGCUAUUUUAAGCAUUUCAAAUAUUCGCAUUAUUUUAUAUUUUAAUUUUCAUAAUAAUGAAAUUUUUUUUUUUUUUUUAAAGUGUUUUAUUGUAGACAGCCUUUGACUUUGUAGAGCUCAUUGUCUGUGAACUGCACGACAUAACAGCAACCACUCACGCUCAUGUGACUCUUUAGACACGCGGGCAGAAAAUGAGAGUUAACCAAACUAGCAACAAACUUUAGUUCAAGUUCUUGAUCUGUUACGCACCACCACACCGGCAGAAAACCCAUAUUUUCAACUCCUUAAAUUAAAAACAAGACAAUUGCAGAAGUGGCUUGUUCCUACAAGGUUUCCGACUUGCAGCACUUCCCGUGAACUAAUUUGCCGUAAAGUAACAGGACGCUCCCCGGCCGGUGAAGCCGACAGCUGCUGGAGGGAAAGCAGGCUGAUGCAAUACACGACAAGCGGGAGGAAGGACCUCAUCUCCGGAUAAGCUUCAACUGUGUACAGCCUCUCUCUGCAGGAGUUGGAGGGGGGCUACCUCUCCGACUUCCAGACCUCCAAAAUUGGAGGGAGAGCAAUAAAUAGAUAAUUUAUAUAAUAAUAAAAACGUUAUAGCAAAACGUUGAAGCUGAGAAUUCCAACUUGGGCAAACUGGAAAAGAAAAGAAAAUAAAAAAAGUCAAUGUUUUUCUUUUUUCUAAAAGACAAUGAUGGUAAAAAGUAUAUUUAAAUAUAGGCAGAUUUUCUUGCCUUAUACAAACUGAAUUCUACAUUAACUUUAACUGCAGAAACAAAAUAAAAACAGAAAAUCUUU